GACGAAUGCUGGCGGCGUGCUUAACACAUGCAAGUCGAACGGAGAGGCCCUGCUUGCAGGGUACUCGAGUGGCGAACGGGUGAGUAACACGUGGGUGAUCUGCCCUGCACUUCGGGAUAAGCCUGGGAAACUGAGUCUAAUACCGGAUAGGAGCCAUUUUUAGUGCGAUGGUUGGAAAGUUUUUUCGGUGUAGGAUGAGCUCGCGGCCUAUCAGCUUGUUGGUGGGGUAAUGGCCUACCAAGGCGGCGACGGGUAGCCGGCCUGAGAGGGUGGACGGCCACAUUGGGACUGAGAUACGGCCCAGACUCCUACGGGAGGCAGCAGUGGGGAAUAUUGCACAAUGGGCGCAAGCCUGAUGCAGCGACGCCGCGUGGGGGAUGACGGCCUUCGGGUUGUAAACUCCUUUCGCUAGGGACGAAGCUUUUGUGACGGUACCUAGAUAAGAAGCACCGGCUAACUACGUG
rnacentral:rRNA from 1 species